CAGAGGAAGAAACAAGUUUGUUUGAGACACUGAGUGCUGUCGGGAUCUACAUAAUCCCAGACUGGACCCAGGUGUGCCUGACUCUGGAGCUCCACGCCGUGUGCACUGAUUGGAUGUUCAUGAGCACACACCAUGAGUAUCAUGGGAUAGAAUUUAAAUUUCUGUUCUUUGACUGGGCAGUAUGCCAGUGCCCGUAACCACACAGGCAGGUCAGCUGAAGCCAGUCUACAUCUAUGGUGUAAAGUUCUGCUGUGUACCACUGACCCCAAGAGCCAGGAGCCAGAUCAGAGCCAGGUCUGUGAAUGAGCGUGUGUUUAGAGAUGCUGAAAGGCCUAAGCAGACUGUGGGAUCCAGUGCCAUCCACUAUGGAAGUGACGUGUCAGCCUGGUUGGGACUUGGCCUUGCCAAGUCUGUAACGACUUGGUAUCUUGGUUCACUACACACAGUUUGCAUGUUGAUGCCACUGCUUACUGUCCUAAGAGCUCCAGGGCACAAGAAGGGAUGUGCUCAGCAACUCCUCUAGGCCCAGCGCAGUGCAUGACCACACCCUGGGUGUUCACCCCUCUGGAGGGCAUGGGGACCCCAAACCUGGGAGGUUUACCAUGUGGAAGGACUUGGAAGUGAGAGCUGCUGAACCAGGAAACAUGUUAGCUGGACCUAGCCCUCAGAGCCCCUCAUCCAUAGACCAGGUCCCCAAAGGAAUAUUCUCUAUCUUUCAGGUUAGCAGUGACUUUUCUUUAAAGACAUCAUGUCUUUAUACCUAGAAGAUAGUUGAUAGGUAAUUCUCAAUUAAUUCAGAAACACCAUUACUAUUCGUCCAACGGCUAGGGGUGUCUGCCCUUGUCCCCAGCGUAGUUUAUCUCGCAGGACUAGGGUGUGACUGUGAUGGAUGGUUCUGGGAUUCUCCAUGUCAAUUCAGCACGUACUAAUAAUAUGUGUCUAUUCACUAAUAUAAUUCCAUCCUUAUCUGCCUCCUUCUUACCUCCACAGUCUGUUCAUUCAAUCAAAAGAAGGUCGAAUUGUUGUUGCUUAAAUAAAACCUUGUCUGAGAUCUGAGGGGUGUAGCUUGUUGGUGGAGCUCUUGGGUAACAUGCGUGGACCCUGGGAUCAAUUCCCAGUACCACAAACAAAACCAAACCUUAUUGAAGUACAGUCACUGUUAACAUUAUUAGGCUAAACAGAUGGUUGACUUAAGGCUUCCAAACACUCCUUUUUAACAUUUGCCAAUGAGUUAAGUAGCUCGUGUCUAGUUGCUGUCCCCCUUUUAGGACCACUCAGGUGUCUCCUAGGGUUAAAGGCAGAUUGAUUUCUGUGCUGAGGCCUCAUUAGAGACAAUUGUAUAUGCCUGUUUAAUAGAGCUUGAAACUAUGGGAAAUGUAUUUAUUUUAUUUUGUUUUGAGACAAGGUCUCACUAUGUAGUCCUAGCUGGCCGGGAUCUCGCUUAUGUAGACCAAGUUGGCCUGGAACUCACAGAGCUCUGCCUACCUCUGCCUCUACCUCCUUCAUGAGAGGAGGCCCUGGACCCCCAUGCUGACUCAGGGAAAAGUAUGAAUGCAAGCUUGCAUUCUCUAAGUGCUUGGAAGAAAGGGGAAAACAUCAUUUAGUGACCUUGCUGCUGUGUUUUGUCUUGGAACAAGGUCUGUCUAGUGUCUGGGCACCACCUGAGAGAUGCAUGCUGGGGCUUUUUUUUUUUUUUCUUUAGCCUUACAAAUGAGGCUCUUUUCUAAAUGUCUUCAGUGGAUCAAAGGGUGUCAAAUGUGAGGAGACCUCACAUGUAUGGUGUGUGUUCAUAUGUGGGCAUAUGUGCACAAGAAUAGAAAUUGAUAUGAAGUGUCUUCCUCAAUGCUCUCCACCUUAUUUUUUGAGACAGUGACUUUCAUUGAGCCUAGAGCUAGACUGACUGGCCAGCAUUCCUGUGAGGUCCUCCUCUCUCCCCUCCACCCCAGCUGGAGGCACACAUUGCUGUGCUCAGCUUUGUGUGUGUGUGGAGAUCUAACUUAGAGCCCCAUGCUUCCAUGGCAAGCCCUUUUCUGACUGAGCCAUCUCCCUAGCCUCUGACUGCAGCUUUUCUAUCCAAAACUUCAAAGCAGCCAAGACAAAUUUGAAUCCCUUGCGUGAGCUUCUCCCCAGGCAGUGCGUACUAGCAAUUUAGUGCUUAGCUGGCCAGAAUUCGAAAACUGAAACAUGAGUUAGAAGUCUGAUAUUCAGAUAAUCCACACGUCUAGCUACAUAACACACUGAUAAUAUCCAAAAUUAAGAUUAGUACUUCUGUGACCACCCGUAUAAGAUGUGAGGGUGCUUUUGAUCUAAUUACAAGUGUCAGGAUGGCUACUAGUGGCUAAUAGAAAAUGGCAAUAAGAUUAGGGGUGAAGUGUUUGACAAGGGCUGAGACAACCUUUAAAAGUCACCACUGUCUACAACUGUUCUCUUCAUUGUCUUUGAGGACAAGUGUUCGGGCUGCCACUGUGUUCCUAUCAUGGGUGUUCUCAUUUGAGCCGCAGUCACUGUGUGGCGCUGUCACCAAUGUGAAGACUCCCCUGGGCAUGAGACCCCUGUAGCCGUGGCCUCAUCUCAUCCUAGGACGUGACUGUCAGCCACUCCGAUCUUACCAAGAGAUCAUGACAUCAUUUUUACGACCCCUAAUGUUUGGGCAGGGCUUUUGAGUCUUGUUAAUUUAAGACACAGAGUGACGAUUUGGGGACAGAGGAGGCACAGGGACAGGAUGCAGAGCUCAGAGGACCCGUAGGAAGGUCCUCUCUGCUUGGCACAUAGGAUGGGACGAAUUCAGCCCAGCAGGGCAGCCAGACAUGGAGAUGUUCUGUUUAUAGCUAAACCUCCUUCAGACUCAGAAAUUGCUUCUGUUUUUUGUUUGUUUGUUGUUUUGUUUUUUUCAAGACAGAUCUUCUAGACUGCUCAAACCUGAAGGCUAAAAGCCACUCCGGCUCCCAGAGGCUACAAGGAGAGGUUUGAAUGAGGGACACUUUGUAGUUGAGAUGCUGUUUCCAGGUGACUCAGAGAACAGCGCUGUGCUAAGUGCACACCCCUUGAAUGCCUGUACAUCCAUGGCUUUGAGGUUUUUCUUCCCCCGAUUUCGAACACAACUGAUUUUCAUGAGUUGCUCUUUUUGUGUCUGUUGCCUCCUAAAAGGCUCUUUUAUUGUGUUCUUGCUACUUUAUUACUGCAUCCUCUCAAUCCUGUGUCUGUGUUUCAGCCUCAUCUAGAAAAACGAUGGUGAAUUCCAAGUGAAGUGAAGACUUCGUCCUAAGUAGUGAAUGUUUAUUGCAUAGUUACUAUUUAUUAGCCCUCUUCUUGGGGGAAAGUCUUACCAGCUGAAAGAAGUGACCAAGGCUUGCAGGGACACUUUUACAGGGCUCUUGGAAUGGAACAGGAUUAUGGGUGUAAAUUUAUAAUUUUAUUAUCGGGAAUAGAAUGAAUCAUGGUCACC
rnacentral:lncRNA from 1 species